CAUUUAACAUCUGUUUUCCAUGCUGGCAUGGGUCGAGCAGUUUCAAUCUGAUUUGGCAUAGUUUCUACUGUCGGAUACCCUUCCAAGAGUGUAGUGAGUGCUUUUUACAUGCCAGUUACAAAACACUAAUAUUGGCCACGACUACGAUAUCACUUGACUUGACAGGUCUUAAGCAUGGUAUAUUGCAAAAAGUCUGUCACUUGUCACUGCCUCUGUGAGGCCCAAAGUUUGAAGGGUGCUUUUUACAUGCCACAAGCAUAGGUGCCAGAUAUGCGACACUGGUAUUGGCCACGACUACAAUUUCACUUUCUUGAUGGGUCUUCCCAAUACAUACAUACAUAGAUGGUAGCACAUGGUUGUGUGUGCAGUGACUUUCAUAAGGCAGUGUGCCAAGUAAGAUUGCUGUGUUUACUAAGUAAACAUCUGGAAAUAUGUGGAGACAGCAAAUUCAAGAUCAUUUCCCUCUACAAAUGCUCAAGGAAUAAUUCAAAGUACCGGAAGACAAUGGGAACUUCAUUUUAUCAAAAAAUUCUGACCUAAAUUAAACUUUUAAAAAAACUCAGGUUACUGGAUUCCCCCAAAAUUGGUCAAUAUUUAUAGCAAGGAUAUGUGGACACUUGCUGAAAUUGAACAAGUUAUGGAUGUUAUUUUACAUAGUUAACUCAUACAAGUACCGUACCUGGCUAAUUUUUGCAGAAAAUGUGGUUGAAGUUACAGAUGGUUUGUGUGAAAUAAUCAAAUGCAAGUACUUGAAUACUCACUUUUGACCUUCACCAAAUGAAUCAUUUUUGUGUAAGAUUAAUCAACAUUGGAGAGAGUAUAUGUUUAUAUUUUAAAUCUAGUUUGGACCAUUUGGAUUUCCUUCAUAUAAUUGUAACUGCAUCCAUACUUGUUAUUAUGAAUCACUUUUUCAAUCCUCAACUAACAUUCAAAACACUUUGCAUACAUACAUACAGGUGUGUAUGUGUAUAUAUAUGUAUAAUGUAGUCGUGUAUGUGGAAGGAUGAAUGGAUGUGUAUAUAUAUAUAUUGCAUUAUAUAUUGUGUGUGUGUAUAGAGAGAGAUACUUUCAAAACUGACAUCUUGAAUUGUCAUUAACUUCAAGCUGACCAUAUGAAUACAAUACAAUUUAAACCAUCCCAGGAGCCCCUUUCUCACUCAUUCUUUCUUUUAGUUUUUCUUUCCCCCCUUUUUCUCUCCUUCUAACCAAACCUCAAAAAAAAUUUGCCACACACAUGCAUAUGCAUGCACAGUGAAAGAGAGAGAUGCCUUUAAAACAAGAACUAAAGCAAAAAUUGACAUCUUGAAAUGUCAUUAACUUCAAACAGCUGUGAAAUGACUGACCAUGAAAAUACAAUAAAAGACAUCUCAGAAAAAAAGACCCCUUUCUCUCUCUCUUUCGCUCCCCCUUUUUGUUUGUUUGUCUCUCUUUGCUUUCUUUUCUCUCCUGUCCUUUCUGUUUUCUCUAUUUUUCUUUUCUUUUUCCUCCCUCUCACCAAACCUCCCAAAACUUCACUACACACACAUGCUUGUACACAUGCAUACACACACAUAGAUAAAAGAACAUUCUCUUCCAGAUUUAUAUAAAAAGUCAUGGCUUUUCUGUAAAAAAUCACAUCUGAUGAAUCAUGUAAACGAAUAUGAAAGCACUAAUAAAUAAUUAUCCAAAAUUCUGACUA
rnacentral:lncRNA from 1 species